UGCUGUCUCCCUGUAUGAGAAGCGCAAGGCAGCAGACGGAGAAAUAACCCACCACGGAUGUCACAUCCUCCUGCAAGUUUCACACCUUGCGGAGCGGACUCUGUGUGAGGCCCAUUGUUGUGCCAUCAACACGUGAAAAGCUUUAUUAAACCUCGUCCGUUCCAGCCAAGCUUGACGAGCGAAAGAGCAGCGUUUCUUCCGAGUGGAGUGGAUUUGCUGGGGGCGGGCAGAAUUCCGCUCCCUCCCUGACGCUCCCGGGAAGCCUGCGCAGUCCAAGGCCCCGGCCCUUUGUGCAGGCGCCCGGCGCCCAGCAAUUGUGUCUCUAAUCAACUGCCUCUAAGCAGAAGAAGGCUGCAUGAUUCAGGAAUUUCUUCUAAGUGAUGACAUCUUUGUGCAAAUUUUGGUGCCCAUGUGCAGGCUUUGAGAAAUGGACAUAAUUCUUUUAUAAUCGUGGACAACAGUUAUAAUAACAUUUUAAAUGAACACAGACUUCUGGCUAAAGAUAAUAAAAUCAUUUUUCUCUGCUCAUCUCCCUUGAAAUCUACAUGAAAAAGCCACAAGUAAGUCAAAAAUAGAGAUCAAUUUGAAUUUCGAUGGAGCUGGGACAAGUCUAUAUCCCCAGACCAUUGCUAUUGUAUCUGGAACAAGGCUUGGCAGGUGGAGAGAGCUUCCAGAUCCCUCCUCAUACUUCAGGCAGGAUCUGAACUUAAGGUUUGUUCUCCUGAAUCAGAGGAAGGUGGUUGGAGAGAUCAGAAGUGAAGAUAGUGUCUGGAGAGAUGUGGAGGCUUCGCUGUGCAGGCCCAAUUGAACUUGAAUGGAUGGGGAGGUGAGCAUGGUGGAGAAACCAUUGGGACAAGCAGUUUCUCUUGCCUGGGAACUGAUCUGCCAGCAAGGGAGACCACGGGCAGUGAGGUGGAGUGAAGGGUGAGUAGGCAGUGAUCCCUGAGCUCCGUGCAGAAAGCCUGAGACGGAUGCUCUACCCGCUCCAAUGUGAAAGACUUGGGUGCCUUCUGCCUUGGAACACAGGAAAUAGAUCAUGCCUGAGACUUCAACUCUGAACCAAAGUGUAGGCUUCCCCAGCCCAGGCUCUGACACCCUCCCCCAUGCCUCCCACACACAGCAUCUCAAGAGGAGGAAUCGUCAUAGAGGAGUCAAUGCGUGCCUAUGCAUACACAUCAAAAGAUUUUUUUAAAGUGUGAGAAAAAUCAGAAGGGAGGAAAGAAAUACAGUAAGUCCCCUACAUACGGACCUUCAAGUUUCAAACUUUCAAAGAUGCAAACGUGGGUUUGCAUGUUCAGUCAUGUUCACGUGUCUGGCAUACAUGGUCACAUGCAUGCACCUCUGAGAGGGGUUGUGUUUUUGUGUACUUUGUAGUAUUGUAUAGAGUACAGUAGGAAAGUGUCCUUAUUUCAACCCCAGGGUGUCUGGCAGCAAGUGUAAAAGCGCUGGUGAUGUAGCUGGU